rnacentral:tRNA from 1 species
UAACUUUUAGUGUAAAAGCACGAAAAAUUUUGAUUUUUUAGGAAAUAAUUUACUUUAUUAAAGUUAA